CAGCAGCCGCGGGAAUACGAAGGGUGCAAGCGUUAAUCGGAAUUACUGGGCGUAAAGCGUGCGUAGGCGGUGAGUUAAGUCUGCUGUGAAAUCCCCGGGCUCAACCUUGGAAUGGCAGUGGAUACUGGCUCGCUAGAGUGUGUCAGAGGAUGGUGGAAUUCCCGGUGUAGCGGUGAAAUGCGUAGAGAUCGGGAGGAACAUCAGUGGCGAAGGCGGCCAUCUGGGACAACACUGACGCUGAGGCACGAAAGCGUGGGGAGCAAACAGGAUUAGAUACCCCCGUAGUCCCUGUCUCUUAUAC
rnacentral:rRNA from 1 species